rnacentral:rRNA from 1 species
CCUACGGGUGGCAGCAGUGGGGAAUCUUCCGCAAUGGGCGAAAGCCUGACGGAGCAACGCCGCGUGAUCGAAUGAAGGCCUUCGGGUGGUAAAGAUCUGUUGACAGGGACGAAUAAGCAAUGAAAAUAGUUUUGUGUAUGACGGUACCUGUUUAGAAAGCUCCGGCUAAAUACGUGCGACCAGCCGCGGUAAUAGGUAGGGAGCAAGCGUUGUUCGGAAUUUCUGGGCGUAAAGGGCGCGUAGGAGGGCGCUUAAGACAGGUGUGAACACUCCGGGCGUAACCUGGAGACUGCACUUGAAACUGGGUGUAUGUGGGGCAGGAGAGGAAAGUGGAAUUUCUAGGGU